GCAGAUCUAGAGAGCCCUCAGAUGGAGGGCUGUCGUGUGUGAAGAUGCGGUCUCCGAGGCUCAGGGACAAGGUACUCAGAGCAGCUGAGCGUGGGAUUCUUGCAGUUUGAUUCUCCUUCAAUGAAAGGAUUUAUCUCUUAAGAAUAGAGUAAAUUCAAUGCCAAGCUGAUUCAACUCUAGGGUCACAAGGAAAAAAAGGACACUUGCUCUUGGACCUCAACAACUCUGCUAUGAGGAAGACCAAAUUAGUCAUUUCAGAGAGACAAGAUGGAAAGACCCAAAUGGAGAGAAACUAGUUUUCCCAUUUCAG